CUUGUUUCGGCGAGCUUUCCGACGAACUUCUUCCGACGGACUCCUAGCAAGCUCCCGAACUUGUGAUGACUUUAACGAGUAGCCGAGCCUUCUCGGUGAUCUCCGUGAACCUCCGACGAUCUCUUCGGCGAACUUCCGAAAAUUCCGACAGGUUCCCGAUUUCUUCUCGAUUGGUUCCGGCAACAUCUCCGAUGAUUCUUCGGACUCUUAAACGUCCAUCGAACUUGACUCCGGUAUACUUGCUUUGUGUUUUCUGGUUAUCGUAGUUAAUCCUGCACACUUA
rnacentral:lncRNA from 1 species